rnacentral:rRNA from 1 species
UACGUAGGGUGCGAGCGUUGUCCGGAAUUAUUGGGCGUAAAGAGCUUGUAGGCGGUCUGUCGCGUCUGCUGUGAAAAUCCGGGGCUCAACCCCGGACUUGCAGUGGGUACGGGGCAGACUAGAGUGUGGUAGGGGGAGACUGGAAUUCCUGGUGUAGCGGUGAAAUGCGCAGAUAUCAGGAGGAACACCGAUGGCGAAGGCAGGUCUCUGGGCCACUACUGACGCUG